rnacentral:RNase_P_RNA from 1 species
GGAGCAGGCCAGGUGAUCGCUGGCCGCGGCCAGGCGCGGCUGGAGGAAAGUCCGGGCUCCGUAGGGCAAGGCGCUGGGUAACUCCCAGGGGGGGCGACCCCACGGAAAGUGCCACAGAGACCAGACCGCCGUGGUACGUCCACGGUAAGGGUGAAAAGGUGAGGUAAGAGCUCACCAGUGCCGGCGGCGACGCCGGCAGCUUGGAAAACCCCGCCUGGAGCAAGACCAAAUAGGGGAGCGCUUGAGGGUGGCCCGCCCGAAGCUCCCGGGUAGGUUGCGCGAGACCCCGGGUAACCGGGGUCCCAGAGGAAUGAUCACCACCGGCCCGCAAGGCCGGCACAGAACCCGGCUUAUGGCCUGCUCCCCCC